rnacentral:rRNA from 1 species
AUUGAACGCUGGCGGCAGGCCUAACACAUGCAAGUCGAACGGUAACAGGAAACAGCUUGCUGUUUCGCUGACGAGUGGCGGACGGGUGAGUAAUGUCUGGGAAACUGCCUGAUGGAGGGGGAUAACUACUGGAAACGGUAGCUAAUACCGCAUAACGUCGCAAGACCAAAGAGGGGGACCUUCGGGCCUCUUGCCAUCGGAUGUGCCCAGAUGGGAUUAGCUAGUAGGUGGGGUAACGGCUCACCUAGGCGACGAUCCCUAGCUGGUCUGAGAGGAUGACCAGCCACACUGGAACUGAGACACGGUCCAGACUCCUACGGGAGGCAGCAGUGGGGAAUAUUGCACAAUGGGCGCAAGCCUGAUGCAGCCAUGCCGCGUGUAUGAAGAAGGCCUUCGGGUUGUAAAGUACUUUCAGCGGGGAGGAAGGGAGUAAAGUUAAUACCUUGACUCAUUGACGUUACCCGCAGAAGAAGCACCGGCUAAUUCCGUG